UUCCCGCACUCCCGAAUGAACUUAGUGAGGCUGUGCAAGAGGUCCUUGAUGACUCUUAUGCAAGCUCCAGGCUUGGUGGUCAGUUUUGGAGAUCUGCGUCAGUGUUAUUUGGUUGUAAACCUUCUUAUUGUGGAUUUGCUCCUCCAGUCGCUUCAUCUCCUGCCGCGGUUGGAUAAGAGUCUGAGGGUGAGAGUGAGGAGGACCAGGAUGAUGAUGACCUUCAGGAUACUUCUAGCGGGCACUCCUUCCCCUUAGGUCUUCCGGAUCUCUGAGGAAUGUGCCCAUCCUGGAUCUCCCUAAGACUAAAUUUAGUCUGUGGGCAAACGUCUUUAGAUCUCCUCGGCCUAUCGGAGGAUCCUCAGCCCUAUUCGCCGGCUCUUCCUUGGCUAAGUCGACUUUGUGUUUCCCGUUCCCAGGGACUCGUCGUAGUCCUCUUUCCUUUGGAGUAUCCAGAGGUGCCGAUGGCUCUUCUUCCCUAGGUAGUAGCACUACGUUUGCACCCUUUACUUUUGGCAGAAGCAUCUUGAUUCCUCCAUCUUGGGAUGACACCAACAGUAUGUUUAAAGGUUUUAUAGAUGAUCCCUUGUCUCUGCAUGUCAGAUAUUCACCUUUCUCCAUUGAGAAGCUUCGUUCUACUAUCUCCAAUGAGGAUAGAUAAUUCUUUAAUAAAUUCCCAAAGGCGAAUAUUUUGGCCUGCAGAUGCUUCUUGGGGUUUUCCUCUUACUCAUUCUUAUUCAUUAAAUACAUAUGUGUAUGUGGAUUAAUUUAUACUUACCUUCUCUUUAUUUCUAUUAGCGUUCUCAUAUAUGCCUUCACUACAUAGUUGAUUUGAAGCAUCAACUUUUUGAAGCAAAGGCAGAGCUAGUGAAGUCAAAGACUAUGCAAGCUGAUUUUGAGAAGAUUGUGCAAGACAAAUCCAUUCUUGAAGAGAAGCUUGUUGAAGCCAACGAAGAGAUAGAGAAGACCCGGAGAGAGCUUUUCAAAACCAAAAACCAAUUGUCCAGAAUUGAGGCAGAGAAGAUGAAGGCAGUUGAGGAAAAAAUAGCCUAGUGCUACAAGAAAUAUAUGAAAGCUCUUGCUGCUGAAUCCAACGAACACUUUGGACUUGGGCGUGGUUGUACACUUCUCGCACUCAAGAUUCCUCUAGAUCAUGAAGCUUGGUCGGAGGACUUCUUCCAGUGGUGUGGCCUGCCCCAAUCAUCCUCACCUAAGCCUGAAGAAACUUCAUGAAGAUAGCAUUGGCCCGGACACCAAUGCUCUUGGGACUACUUCGGCCACAGAUCCUAGUGGAUAGUAGAAAUAUGUUUUUUUUUGCUAGCAUUUUUUUUUAUUCAGUAUUUUGGAUUCUUCUUCUUCGGCAUUCGUGUGCUAGUCUCAUGAACUAAUUGUAUGAAUAAAGCCCUUUUGGCUUAGACUUUUCUUAGUCUUUUUCUUAAAAUAAAACAUCUUUGGUCACUUAAAUUUG